AUUAGGGUGGCAGAGCCAGGUAAAUGCAAAAGGCCUAAGACCUUCACCCCAGAUGUUCAAAUCCUCUCCCUAACA
rnacentral:tRNA from 1 species